rnacentral:rRNA from 1 species
AUUGAACGCUGGCGGCAGGCUUAACACAUGCAAGUCGAGCGGGGAAGGGUAGCUUGCUACCUGACCUAGCGGCGGACGGGUGAGUAAUGCUUAGGAAUCUGCCUAUUAGUGGGGGACAACAUUCCGAAAGGAAUGCUAAUACCGCAUACGCCCUACGGGGGAAAGCAGGGGAUCUUCGGACCUUGCGCUAAUAGAUGAGCCUAAGUCAGAUUAGCUAGUUGGUGGGGUAAAGGCCUACCAAGGCGACGAUCUGUAGCGGGUCUGAGAGGAUGAUCCGCCACACUGGGACUGAGACACGGCCCAGACUCCUACGGGAGGCAGCAGUGGGGAAUAUUGGACAAUGGGCGAAAGCCUGAUCCAGCCAUGCCGCGUGUGUGAAGAAGGCCUUUUGGUUGUAAAGCACUUUAAGCGAGGAGGAGGCUACUUGGGUUAAUACUCUAGGAUAGUGGACGUUACUCGCAGAAUAAGCACCGGCUAACUCUGUGCCAGCCGCCGCAGUAAAAC